AUUGAACGCUGGCGGCAGGCCUAACACAUGCAAGUCGGACGGUAACAGGAAGCAGCUUGCUGCUUUGCUGACGAGUGGCGGACGGGUGAGUAAUGUCUGGGAAACUGCCUGAUGGAGGGGGAUAACUACUGGAAACGGUAGCUAAUACCGCAUAACGUCGCAAGACCAAAGAGGGGGACCUUAGGGCCUCUUGCCAUCAGAUGUGCCCAGAUGGGAUUAGCUUGUUGGUGGGGUAACGGCUCACCAAGGCGACGAUCCCUAGCUGGUCUGAGAGGAUGACCAGCCACACUGGAACUGAGACACGGUCCAGACUCCUACGGGAGGCAGCAGUGGGGAAUAUUGCACAAUGGGCGCAAGCCUGAUGCAGCCAUGCCGCGUGUAUGAAGGAGGCCUUCGGGUUGUAAAGUACUUUCAGCGGGGAGGAAGGGGAGAAGGUUAAUAACCUUUUUCAUUGACGUUACCCGCAGAAGAAGCACCGGCUAACUCCGUGCCAGCCGCCGCCGUAA
rnacentral:rRNA from 1 species